rnacentral:rRNA from 1 species
CAACAUGUCUGUAUGAUAGUUAUAUAGAGUCUGGCCUGCCCGUUGGGGUCUGAAAGGCCGCGGUAUUAUGACCGUGCGAAGGUAGCAUAAUCAUUAGUCUUUUAAUUGAAGGCUGGAAUGAAGGGUUGGACGAGAAACAAGCUGUCUUUAUCUUAAAAAUUGAAUUUAACUUUUAAGUGAGAAGGCUUAAAUGGAUUAAAGGGACGAUAAGACCCUAUAAAGUUUAUAUACAGAACUAAUUAAAGAUAAUUAGGAAGAAUAAAGUUUAUUAUUAGGUAGGUAUUUAGUUGGGGCGACUAGGAUAUAAAUUAAUUUAACUGUUUUUAAUUAAGGUCAAAGAUAUUUGAGUUCGUGAUCCUUUUUUAGGAUUAAAGAAUAAGUUACUUUAGGGAUAACAGCGUAAUUUUUUUUGAGAGUUCUUAUCGACAAAAGAGUUUGCGACCUCGAUGUUGAAUUAAAAAUUUCUUUGUAGUGCAGCAAUUACAAUAGAAGGUCUGUUCGACCUUUAAAUUUUUACAUGAUUUGAGUUCAGACCGGCGAGAGCCAGGUUGGUUU